GAUGAACGCUAGCGGCAGGCCUAACACAUGCAAGUCGAGGGGUAGCAGGAUUAAGCUUGCUUAAUUACUGACGACCGGCGCACGGGUGCGUAACGCGUAUGCAACCUACCUUAUACUGGGGUAUAGCCCGGAGAAAUUCGGAUUAAUCCCCCAUAGUACUAAUGAAUCGCAUGGUUUAUUAGUUAAAGCAUUGCGGUAUAAGAUGGGCAUGCGUCCUAUUAGCUAGAUGGUGAGGUAACGGCUCACCAUGGCUACGAUAGGUCGGGGGCCUGAGAGGGUGGUCCCCCAUACUGGUACUGAGACACGGACCAGACUCCUACGGGAGGCAGCAGUGAGGAAUAUUGGUCAAUGGGCGCAAGCCUGAACCAGCCAUGCCGCGUGCAGGAAGAAUGCCCUAUGGGUUGUAAACUGCUUUUAUUUGGGAAUAAACCUCUUUACGUGUAGAGAGCUGAAGGUACCAAAUGAAUAAGCACCGGCUAACUCCGUGCCAGCAGCCGCGGUAA
rnacentral:rRNA from 1 species